GGUAGUCCACGCCGUAAACGAUGAUAACUUGCUGUCCGGGGACUUGGUCUUUGGGUGGCGCAGCUAACGCAUUAAGUUAUCCGCCUGGGGAGUACGGUCGCAAGAUUAAAACUCAAAGGAAUUGACGGGGGCCUGCACAAGCGGUGGAGCAUGUGGUUUAACUCGAAGCAACGCGCAGAACCUUACCAGCGUUUGACAUGUCCGGACGACUUCGAGAGAUCGAUUCCUUCCCUUCGGGGACUGGAACACAGGUGCUGCAUGGCUGUCGUCAGCUCGUGUCGUGAGAUGUUGGGUUAAGUCCCGCAACGAGAGCAACCCUCGCCUUUAGUUACCAUCAUUCAGUUGGGUACUCUAAAGGAACCGCCGGUGAUAAGCCGGAGGAAGGUGGGGAUGACGUCAAGUCCUCAUGGCCCUUACGCGCUGGGCUACACACGUGCUACAAUGGCAGGUACAGUGGGCAGCAAUCCCGCGAGGGUGAGCUAAUCUCCAAAACCUGUCUCAGUUCGGAUUGUUCUCUGCAACUCGAGAGCAUGAAGGCGGAAUCGCUAGUAAUCGCGGAUCAGCAUGCCGCGGUGAAUACGUUCCCAGGCCUUGUACACACCGCCCGUCACACCAUGGGAGUUGGAUUCACCCGAAGGCGUUGCGCCAACCCAGCAAUGGGAAGCAGGCGACCACGGUGGGUUCAGCGACUGGGGUGAAGUCGUAACAAGGUAGCCGUAGGGGAACCUGC
rnacentral:rRNA from 1 species